rnacentral:lncRNA from 1 species
AUAAAUUCAAAACAUUCAAUUCAUGUUCACUUUGCACAACUGCACUCUUCUAUUCAUCACAAGAUGCCAUUGACCAACGCAUUUAUUCAACAUAUAUAGAAGAUUCAUUAGUUUUCCUUGCUACAACCAUUAAAGAAAUAUUCAAGUCAACAUACAAGUUGUGGCAUGCUACAAAAUAUGGGUCAAGUUCAUAAGAGACUAAAUAUUCGAUCACUCUACAAAACACUAUGGCAGAGCCCAAGUCUUCGGUCACCAAACCGACAUCAACUUCCAUUUGAAGAAAAUAGAAGAUGUACAAAAGCCAUAAUAUCUUCGACUUGAUACUUCCCUCCAUUUCACCCUACAAAAGCCCCAUAUGUUUGAGCAAUAUUAUCAUAGUACAUUUUGUCAAACUUCUGAGUUAAUCAAGUCCAAAGAACCAAAAACAGAAGAUGUACAACAAACUGGCUUGGUACUGUAGUUAUAUGUGUAGGUCAAAGGCCGAAACAUACUAAUAAUCAUUUAAAUGAAAUAAAGAAACCCAGAUACAUGCACAUUUAUCAGGAAGCAGCCGUGAGCAUAUAGCCCGAUUUUGGAGAAAAUAAAGCAUUAGACCAGCAUUCAACUUCUUACAAACUCACGCAUACAAGUUCUUACAAACACAUGCGUACAUAUCCAUGAGAGUAUGCAUGUUACAUGAGAGUUUUCAUAUGCUGAUAAAAGAAGAGUAUCAAACAAGGGUGAGUAUGCAUCUACAUCAUUCAAAGUUAGCUACAGUUUUAAUCAAACAUACAACUCUAAACUAUAGCAAUUGAGAACCAACAGGUCAUUGUGAAAUUGAUCAGUUAGAUUGCUAGACCCAGCAGUGCCUUACAAACACUGAUAACCUUUUCUUCUUUUUAUAGUAUGGAAAUCAUAAAGUUAUUUAUUCAUUUUUUGAAACGGUUAAAGUUAUUUUUGACUACUACAGCUACAUCCAAUGUAAGACUACACAUGAACAUAUGUGAAUGAUCAACUAUUGUAUGUUGAUGCAUAAGUUUGCAGGAUACUUAAAUACUGUUUUCUUUCAUGCUCACUAGUCGCUUCUCAGAAAACUGAAUCUGAAAGCACCUCCUUACUUGGUUUUCAACUACUGGAGAGGUCGUUCUGUAUUGGUCGUGUAUAAUCAUUCUCGGUUCUCCUGCAAUACAAGCAGAAAAAAAACAUGAGCAACGAACCACCACAUAUACAAUGUCAGACCAUGCAACUGCUAAUUACCGUAACGGCAAAAGACCUCUCUGUUCAUCCAUAGUCCAUUUAACUACUACAUGCUCUCAGUUCAUCUAUAGGCCAAGUUCAAAGCAUAUGCUCAUUUAAAAACUUGGGCAUGAUCAUCUAUUGUAGUACUGGUACAAAAACAAAUUGCACAGUUAUGGUCGAUUGUACCACUCACGUUAUUUGAAAAAACAUACACGCAAAACAAUCACAAAUAGAGAAGCACCACACAAGUACUAAGAACAAUAAAUAAACUUUUUUUUGCGUGGUACUUUUUCUUAUCAGUAAACAAAGAUAUAUAUCAACCCACGCAAAAAGAUAUAUAUUAAAACGAAAGCAAAAAUAAAACUUAAAGCAUACGUACUCUAAUGCAGAAUGAAUGAAG